UGCACUUGUACAAUUCAAGAGCUGAACAGCAUUGCUCAUCAUUUGCGUAAACAUUUUUUCGCCUAUGCAAUUACAGCUACAAUUUUAUAGCUGUAUAUUUAUACUGAAACCCAUUAAGGUUAGAAUUAAAAUGUGCCUUCAACAAACACAACCAGCGUUAGGGCUAGGAUGUAUUGUGUAGACAACAUAUAACGUUCAAUCUGCAAUCCAACUAAAACUACUUUUCAGGUCCUCGACAAUCCCAGCCUUAUGCAGUCAAUGUGCAGGCCUGAGCUCCCAAAAAGAAACAAACACUCCAGUGUGUCUCACUCAUCCUAAUGACCCUUCCGUAAAAGACGCCCCCCCAAAAACAUUCCCGUCACCCACAGACACUUCUGUUGUGAUGCAAGCAAAACAAAGCCGUACACUUUACAUGAAAGAGCAUCACUAAAACCCGUCCAUGACCUGACUUCUAAGUAGGCAGGAGGGCUAUAUGGGCAACCACCAGCGGGCAACAGUCCAAUAUCAUGUGAUCGGCCUUUUACGGUAAUAGGAGCCAGAGUCCGUGGGCAUUUAAAAACUCGGAUAUCCGCUUUGAAGAGGAAGAGACCAAAAAAGAAAGCGAUAGUCUGCAGGAAAUUGUUUGCAACCUAAAAAACCCACACAUUUCUAGAGACCUGUCGCAAAAGGAGUAUCUGAGGUGGAGCGGUUUUAACCUGAAAGAAAACCGUACAAAGAAAUCAAUAAUCCAUCACAGGCAAAGAAUCUAGAAAUAGGGUCACACGCAGCUGCGGCGCAUCAGGGGAGAUACGGGAAAAGCACAGAGAGUACGUCUGAAAAUGGCUUUCUGGGGACCCGUUGGAACCAUCUGGGGGACCCCUGGGGGACUCCAGUUUGAAAACGCCUGCCAUAGAAGAACUAUUUUUUGGCUGAAUGAUUACAUAAAUUAACAACUGAAGAACUAAAGGUUAUAAUCUAAAGGUUUUUAA